rnacentral:lncRNA from 1 species
UCCCCUUGCAGCCACCCUCCACUACUUCCUCCUCCCUCUAGAUCUCCCCCCACGCAGCAAGGAUCGAGAAGAGGAGGAGCAAGAUGGAUUGAAGAGGAAGAGAGGAUCAAGGAGAUGUUCUACCCCCAUCUCUUGCAGAUUUUCUUGGGGAAACCCUAGGUAAGGAUAGGAUCCUUGUUCCUCCCUAUAAUUAUAUGCUUUUGGAGGUUGUGGAUCAUGUGGAUUGAAGGAUUAGAGGUUGGAUUAGAUGUGGGGUUAGGUUUUGAUCUCGAAUUUAAUUUCUGCAGAAUGGCAGAUUCGACAGUUUCUGUUCAUGUCAGUUUUCCGUGGUCUUAGUGGCCUCAAAAAAAUAAAAAGUCUAUAUAUGAGUCGUAGAUAAUUUGUAGAUCUUUCCGUGGCCGCGAAGAACACCUCAAUCGGACAUCAGAACAGAAAGUUAUGAUAGUUUGAUUAUAACAGUUUUUCAGUCUCAUAAUUCUGUGCAGAAUCUGUUCUCUUAAGAGUUAGGCAAUUUUAUCAACGGAAUCAAACUGUGGGUUGGUAAAAGAAGUUAUAGAUAAUUUCAUAAGCUUUCCAUAUUGUUAAAGAUUGCAUUCAUAUGAUUUGUGAAACUCCAAUUAUGUUUGUUUUACUGUGGCUGUUCCUGUUUGCCUGACAAAAAUGAGUGGGUCUGUUCACUGGUGGGUUUCAUCUAGUAAAUGGCCAAAUUGGCUCUUCCAACUAUGGAGACUUUUGUAGAGGGAUAAAAGUUCUUACUUCCAACAGAAUUUCAUAAUUUUUGGUUCAGUAGUUUGGGAGAUAUCGAAUUUUAAAGUUAACCAUACUGCUGUCUAAAACAGAUUCAGUCAGUUAUCUUGUCAGAUGUUUUAGAACUUGUAGAUGGCAGAAUUUAAUUAUCCAUUGAAUACUGAAGUUGUAGAGUAUUUUGUGUAGAUACUCCUAGAGUAUUUGUUUGAUAUCACCGCUGUUUUAAUUUUAAAGAUACAAAAUUAACAAACAGCGCUGCUGCUGUAUGGCAUGUGGUUCAGGGUGGGAGUCUUUCCACUGGGUCUUGGUUUCAAGUGUAGGAGUGUUUUGUUGAUUGAUGGCAAAUGUUUGUGAAAUAUUUGUACUAAGUUUUAUGCCCGCUAGUAGGUGGCUAUACUCCAGAUCAUGUCUAGUACAUUUCUUCUUCUUCGAUGAAGGCAAGUGAAUGUAGCGGUGGUUGCUUCCGUUCUGACCUGUUAUUUCUAUUGCCUACACUCUAAUAUUCAGAAGUAUUGGAUUCUUUCAUAAUUGGUCUCUAUGGUGAUGCUUUACUUGCUUGCAUUAUACUGAUGCUCAAUCAUAUAUUGAUGAUGAUUAUGAUUCGAGUAUGAUUCAUGAGAUUAAUUCACACCCCUGAAGGUAAAUGAAGUAUUAUUUGAGGUUGCUAUUGUAUCUGAAGGUAAAUGAAGUAUUAUUUGAGGUUGGUAUUGUAUCUGAAGGUAAAUAAAGUAUUAUUUGAGGUUUGUAUUGUAUCUGAAGGAAGUGAAGGUUAUUGAUAAAUGCAGCAUGCCAUAUACAUUGCAUGACUCAUUUGCAUCUGAAGUUUUAUCGUGACCUAUGGUCCGACCGUACCGGUACAAUUUAGCAUCGUACGUUGCCCGAGGAGGGGUACGAUGCGGCUUCAUACCCUUAGAGGUAUGAAGGCAGAGGACAUAUGCAUUGCAUUCAUAUGCAUUCAUUGAAGUGAUAUUUGCAGAUGAUGUGGUUUUAUACUCUCAGAGGUAUGAAGAUAGAGUACCUACACAUUGCAUUCCUAUGCAUACAUUGAAGUGAUAUUUGCAGGUAUUAUUGACGCACGGAAGUGUUAUAGAACCUAUUGUGGUUGUUCGAGGAAAUGAGAUGGUAUUGGUUAUAGUGGGACUACUGAGUUCCAUAUCUACAAGUAUUUCUGAUUUUAAUUGUGACUCUUUUAAAAUGUUGAUGAAUUCAAUUUGUGGUUUAAAGAUCUCGUCAAAAUUAUUCGCUUGCUGAGAUGUUUCAUCUCACUCUUGCAUUACUCAAUGCAGGUGCUUGUUGCUCAUCAAGGGAAGUGGGAAGUAGCAGCACAUCCACCUUCACUCUUAUAAUAACACUGCUUAGGCGCAGUCAUGAUUUAAUUAGAAGCUUCUUGUCAAAGGACGUUUGUUUCUAACUAGUUAUGCGCACUGGAUAAUUUAGCUCAUGCCGUUAUGGUUGUCUUCCCAUUGCUAGCAGACUAUUAAUGUCUAUUAUGUUUUCUUAUCAUGAUAUCUAUUUAUACUUUGUUGCUUCCCCGUUUAUGCCAUUUUCAAAGGAGAUGCUGUCGAAAUUUUAUAUACGAAUGUUAGAUGUGUAGUUUAGUAGCAUUCUGGGGUGUUUGUGGAUCCCGGGGUGUUACAGUUGGUAUCAAAGCUUAGGCUUUAGAUUCUUGGCAAUUUGAAGAU